rnacentral:rRNA from 1 species
AUUGAACGCUGGCGGCAGGCCUAACACAUGCAAGUCGAGCGGAUGAAGGGAGCUUGCUCCUGGAUUCAGCGGCGGACGGGUGAGUAAUGCCUAGGAAUCUGCCUGGUAGUGGGGGAUAACGUCCGGAAACGGGCGCUAAUACCGCAUACGUCCUGAGGGAGAAAGUGGGGGAUCUUCGGACCUCACGCUAUCAGAUGAUCCUAGGUCGGAUUAGCUAGUUGGUGGGGUAAAGGCCUACCAAGGCGACGAUCCGUAACUGGUCUGAGAGGAUGAUCAGUCACACUGGAACUGAGACACGGUCCAGACUCCUACGGGAGGCAGCAGUGGGGAAUAUUGGACAAUGGGCGAAAGCCUGAUCCAGCCAUGCCGCGUGUGUGAAGAAGGUCUUCGGAUUGUAAAGCACUUUAAGUUGGGAGGAAGGGCAGUAAGUGAAUACCUUGCUGUUUUGACGUUACCAACAGAAUAAGCACCGGCUAACUUCGUG